AACGAACGCUGGCGGCAUGCCUAACACAUGCAAGUCGAACGAGACCUUCGGGUCUAGUGGCGCACGGGUGCGUAACGCGUGGGAACCUGCCCUUAGGUUCGGAAUAACUCCCCGAAAGGGGUGCUAAUACCGGAUAAUGUCUUCGGACCAAAGAUUUAUCGCCUUUGGAUGGGCCCGCGUUGGAUUAGCUAGUUGUUAGGGUAAAAGCCUACCAAGGCGACGAUCCAUAGAUGGUCUGCGAGGAUGAUCAGCCACACUGGGACUGAGACACGGCCCAGACUCCUGCGGGAAGCAGCAGUGGGGAAUAUUGGACAAUGGGCGAAAGCCUGAUCCAGCAAUGCCGCGUGAGUGAUGAAGGCCUUAGGGUUGUAAAGCUCUUUUACCCGGGAUGAUAAUGACAGUACCGGGAGAAUAAGCUCCGGCUAACUCCGUG
rnacentral:rRNA from 1 species